rnacentral:rRNA from 1 species
AGAACGAACGCUGGCGGCAUGCCUAAUACAUGCAAGUCGAACGAACACUUCGGUGUUAGUGGCGCACGGGUGCGUAACGCGUGGGAAUCUGCCCUUGGGUUCGGAAUAACAGUUGGAAACGACUGCUAAUACCGGAUGAUAUCGAAAGAUCAAAGAUUUAUCCGCCCGAGGGAUGACGCCCGCGUAGGAUCAGCUAGUUGGUAGAGGUAAAGGCUCACCAAGGCACGAUCCUUAGCUGGUCUGAGAGGAUGAUCGAGCCACACGUGGACUGAGACCACCGG